rnacentral:rRNA from 1 species
UACGGAGGGAGCUAGCGUUAUUCGGAAUUACUGGGCGUAAAGCGCACGUAGGCGGCUUGCCAAGUCGGACGUGAAAUCCCUCAGCUCAACUGAGGACGUGCAUCCGAAACUGGCGAGCUUGAGUACUGAAGAGGAUCGCGGAAUUCCCGGUGUAGAGGUGAAAUUCGUAGAUAUCGGGAGGAACACCAGUGGCGAAGGCGGCGAUCUGGGCAGAUACUGACGCUGAGGUGCGAAAGCGUGGGGAGCAAACAGG